rnacentral:rRNA from 1 species
UACGGAGGGGGCUAGCGUUGUUCGGAAUUACUGGGCGUAAAGCGCACGUAGGCGGCGAUUUAAGUCAGAGGUGAAAGCCCGGGCUCAACCCGGAAUAGCCUUUGAGACUGGAUUGCUAGAAUCUUGGAGAGGCGAGUGGAAUUCCGAGUGUAGAGGUGAAAUUCGUAGAUAUUCGCGAAGAACACCAGUGGCGAAGGCGGCUCAC